AGUAGCGCCUCCAGUAACGCUGUGCAGGCCACGUCAGCCCCUUGUCCUGCUCAGGGUGUGGCCUCCUCUCUCAACUGCUCCACAAACUCCAUCCAUGUGCAGUGGCAGCAGGUCUCAGGUCUGGAGUACCUUGUGGCCGCGUUGGGGGUGGAGGAGGACACAGCCUAUUGCUCCUCCUCCUCUGACUCCUGUGUCCUGAAGGGUCUGGAGUGCGGCUUCAUCUACAACAUCAGUGUCAUAGCUUCCAAUUUUGUCUGCAAUACGUCCAGCUCUGUCAUCCAGCAGCACUCAGUUCCCUGUAUCCCACAAAACGUCCGCACUAAGUUUGACUGUGAGGACAAAGACGUGCAGGUGACGUGGCAGACCACUAAGGGCGCCCACGGCUACAGGACUGUGGCUCAGAGUUUGGGUGG
ensembl:lncRNA